rnacentral:rRNA from 1 species
AACGAACGCUGGCGGCAUGCCUAACACAUGCAAGUCGAACGAGACCUUCGGGUCUAGUGGCGCACGGGUGCGUAACGCGUGGGAACCUGCCCUUAGGUUCGGAAUAACUCCCCGAAAGGGGUGCUAAUACCGGAUAAUGUCUUCGGACCAAAGAUUUAUCGCCUUUGGAUGGGCCCGCGUUGGAUUAGCUAGUUGGUAGGGUAAAAGCCUACCAAGGCGACGAUCCAUAGCUGGUCUGAGAGGAUGAUCAGCCACACUGGGACUGAGACACGGCCCAGACUCCUACGGGAGGUAGCAGUGGGGAAUUUUGGACAAUGGGCGAAAGCCUGAUCCAGCAAUGCCGCGUGAGUGAUGAAGGCCUUAGGGUUGUAAAGCUCUUUUACCCGGGAUGAUAAUGACAGUACCGGGAGAAUAAGCUCCGGCUAACUCCGUG